AACGAACGCUGGCGGCGUGGAUAAGACAUGCAAGUCGAACGAGAGAAUUGCUAGCUUGCUAAUAAUUCUCUAGUGGCGCACGGGUGAGUAACACGUGAGUAACCUGCCCCCGAGAGCGGGAUAGCCCUGGGAAACUGGGAUUAAUACCGCAUAGUAUCGAAAGAUUAAAGCAGCAAUGCGCUUGGGGAUGGGCUCGCGGCCUAUUAGUUAGUUGGUGAGGUAACGGCUCACCAAGGCGAUGACGGGUAGCCGGUCUGAGAGGAUGUCCGGCCACACUGGAACUGAGACACGGUCCAGACACCUACGGGUGGCAGCAGUCGAGAAUCAUUCACAAUGGGGGAAACCCCGAUGGUGCGACGCCGCGUGGGGGAAUGAAGGUCUUCGGAUUGUAAACCCCUGUCAUGUGGGAGCAGAUUAAAAAGAUAGUACCACAAGAGGAAGAGACGGCUAACUCUGUGCCAGCAGCCGCGGUAAUACAGAGGUCUCAAGCGUUGUUCGGAAUCACUGGGCGUAAAGCGUGCGUAGGCUGUUUCGUAAGUCGUGUGUGAAAGGCGCGGGCUCAACCCGCGGACGGCACAUGAUACUGCGAGACUAGAGUAAUGGAGGGGGAACCGGAAUUCUCGGUGUAGCAGUGAAAUGCGUAGAUAUCGAGAGGAACACUCGUGGCGAAGGCGGGUUCCUGGACAUUAACUGACGCUGAGGCACGAAGGCCAGGGGAGCGAAAGGGAUUAGAUACCCCUGUAGUCCUGGCAGUAAACGG
rnacentral:rRNA from 1 species